AGAAAAGAUGUCAACAUUUUCCAUUAUAAAUCGUCCAAAUGUGCUGCAUGAAUAUUUUGGGAUCGACAGACUAUAGUCCCAAUAUAUAAUCGGAAAAUCAAACCAGGCAACUUCUAGAGCUCUCUAUUCGGAUCAUAUGUAUAUAGCUGCUGGAAUAAACAACUGCUUAGUAAUGCAAACGUAAACAAAAUUGCAUUGCUAAAAAUACUAGUUUCACAAAUUACUAGUUUCACAAAUUACCGGGUAUUUUAAUGUUUACUGUAUUUUGAUUUUUAAUGUCGUCAGUCCUACGGUUUUUUUUUCUUCCAUCUCAAUGAUACUGUAUCGUCUGUAUGAUAAAAGAUCGUCUAGAACACCGAAAAUUCAAUUUUGAUGUAAGUAUAUACAUGUACAUCAUAUUUGAAAUAUAAAAAUACUCAAAACACGCAUAAAACGCUUUCACUAACUGCGUACGUUACGCUGUUAUGCCAGACAUACCAUAUAAGAAAAAUAAGUAAAAAGUUAUAGCUAAUUUGCUCGUUUAAUCAUGUUAAUGUUUCACAAUUCGUAUACAUUUGAUUUUUCCGUUUCCUCACUCAACUAAAGCCGAAUGAAUACAAUGCUAUAAUUGAUAGACAUUCAUAUGAAUAUUAAUAAGAUAACAACAUGUUGAUAAUCAUUCAUUAGAUAUAAAUAAAAGAUACAAAGUAUAUCGUUUCUGGCCAGUCUAUACCCUUUUUAAGCAAUAAACGUGAUGAUAUUUUCCAUUCCGUUCCGCGUUUUAGCAACACCCAUACAUGCAUGUCUGUGUUUUUCGUAUGCAGAAAAGGAUUAAUUAAGAUCAGCUAAAGGAAUUCAUUAUUGUGUUUUAAUUGGAUUAUCAUUAUGAUGUUGACCAAUUUAGGUAAGCAUAAUACAUGUAGUAGCAGUAGCAUAAUAUAAUGAGAUGCCAGCAUACAUAUAUAUAGAAAUACAUACUAUUUUAAAUAUUACUGUUAAAUGCAUUAAUGACUGCUUUGAACACAGAUGUCAAUUAGUCUAAGGAAAUGUUAAACUGAUCUAUAUAGAUCAGUAAAAAUAUAUAUACUGUACAUGCAACUAUUGUAAACAUACAAUGAUGUUCUUAUAUAUUCAUUGGGCCUUUGCCAAUUAUUGUAAUUGUGUUUGUGCCAAUAAAAUAUUUGUAUUUGU
rnacentral:sRNA from 1 species